rnacentral:rRNA from 1 species
UACGGAGGGUGCAAGCGUUAUCCGGAUUCACUGGGUUUAAAGGGUGCGUAGGUGGGCAGGUAAGUCAGUGGUGAAAUCUCUAGGCUUAACCUGGAAAUUGCCAUUGAUACUAUAUGUCUUGAAUGCUGUGGAGGUAAGCGGAAUAUGUCAUGUAGCGGUGAAAUGCUUAGAUAUGACAUAGAACACCUAUUGCGAAGGCAGCUUACUACGCAGAUAUUGACGCUCAUGCACGAAAGCGUGGGGAUCAAACAGG